UUCUAGAUAGUUCUCACUUAAGAAGAUAAUUAUGAAAGUCGUGUGUAUCGACGGAUGGAGUGCACAGUUUAGCACCCGACUUUGCACACGACCGUCACACUGUAUAAAAGCGCCAUUGCUCGGUCCAAGGCGUAUCAAUCGCUCUCAACACACAACACCGACCAAACCGCCAACUAACAAGCAAAAUGCCCAAGCCGUGCUGCGACAACUGCGCCAAGUCCUGCCAGGGCGGCGCCGAUGGAUGCAAGUGCAGCGGCACCUGUGGAUGCCAGGGAGGCUGCAAGUGUUGCGCAGACAAAAAAUAAUUGUAUUAUUCUCACCUAUGUAAACUUGCCCUCCAAACCUGAACUAUAAUGGAGUAAAUUCUAAGUCACCAGAAUGUGUCGAAUAAGUAAUAAAUUGGAAUAUAAAAUGCAAGAAAGAAA